CCUCUUAUAAACUCAAGAUUAGAGACGCUUUUGCAAUCUCGUUCUCCAUCUCUCUACCGUCUUUAUCGUCAUGCUCAGACGGUGAGUUCUUAUUGUCUCCGAUGAGAGUACUCUGUCUAUCUACGACGUUGCUCAUCUUCGUCUUCCUCCGACGUCGUGAAACUGAUUUGACAAUUAGAAGCGUUUCACUUCCAUCGACAGCAAUCUCGUCAUUCACCAAUCCUCCACCAGAUCUGAGGGUUUGUAAAGCCUCGAUUCUGAUGAAUCUGUCGAGUUCGAGGUCGAGAUCAACAACAAUGGUCUUUCCAAAGCCAUCAACGUGUCUAGACCCGCGACGCAACCAUCAACAGUGGUGGUUCAUUUGGUAGUCGCGGCACGGAAGAAGGUUUGUGGACAUGAGUCGAUGGUGCUUGAGACCAAUUCGUCCCUAGGCUCGACAUGCUCUUCAAUUCCUUUGAGCAAUUAACCUCGAUGAUAAUAUAGCAAAUUUGCAAGUCAAAUUUUCUCUAAUAGAAUUGGUGACAAGGUAUUCUCUAUGCUCUAACUGCUUGAUUAGACCAAUUGUUUGCUUAAUCGAAUAAUUUUACUUGCUAUCAUUCUAAACCUCUACACAUUUUUUUUUUGUCUAGGAGUGUAUUAUGUGUUUUUGAAUUGUUUAGCUAAUGACACACAUCAAUCUGAUAGUGUUUUAUCUGGGGUUUCAAGGUUAAUUAGUUUCGUAGUGUUGCAGAACUAGUUUACAUAUGGGAUGCUAAAUAAGAUAUCACUUGAAGCAAUGUUAAAAAGAAACUUAACUAUAUUAAUAGUGUUAAUAAUGCAGUCACUCCAAUCUCUUCUCACGAGUUACCAAUCCAUUCACAUGUUUGGGAGAGAUUCUGUGUUUAUAUCUAUAUGUGCUCCCAAUGAAAAUCGGUAAAUAGGAAAAUUCUAGCAAUGGUUUUACUUGAUGAUAAAAUAUACAAAUGCUUUUUGCAAUAUUCGUGGUUGUUAGUAUAGAUUAUGGAAUCUGAAUAUAGGACUUGGAAAUAUCUUUGUGCUUUUGUGUUUCUCCCCUAGAUAUUGAAUUAGAAGGAGACGUAUGGCUAUAACACUUAUAUAGUCUUAACGAGUUAGGAAAGUAUCCCUAAACUUUUCAUUACCUAAAUGUGUUUUUGUUUAUAGGAGUUUCAUCGACAAAGGGGAAGUGAGAUCUCAGUUCGAUUAUAUCUUCAACUGCUGAAAAAGGGGUUCCUCAAUUUCUUCUUGAUCCGGUUCUAUAGGCUGUUCACAUUACACUCAAGUGACCUAUGAUAUACAUGGUGCAUAUAUUUUAGGAGUUGAUGAUAAAGAUAAGAAAAUACUUGACUUUAAGUUUGAAUUCAGGUUAUUGUGGAAGACCUCUCUAAAAUUCAAGAACUCCUUCCUAAAAGUUAUAGAAUUCUUCCUAAUUUUAAGGA
rnacentral:lncRNA from 1 species